GAUGAACGCUGGCGGCGUGCUUAACACAUGCAAGUCGAACGGAAAGGCGCUGCGCUUGCGGGGUGCUCGAGUGGCGAACGGGUGAGUAACACGUGAGUAACCUGUCCCUGUAUUUGGGAUAACAUCAGGAAAAAGCGGCUAAUAUCGGGUAGGAGCUCUUGAUGCGUGUGGUUGGAUGGUAAAAUACGGCGGUUGGGGAUGGACUCGCGGCUUAUCAGCUUGUUGGUGGGGUAGUGGCUUACCAAGGUUUUGACGGGUAGCCGGCCUGAGAGGGUGACCGGCCACAUUGGGACUGAGAUACGGCCCAGACUCCUACGGGAGGCAGCAGUGGGGAAUAUUGCACAAUGGGCGGAAGCCUGAUGCAGCAACGCCGCGUGCGGGAUGACGGCCUUCGGGUUGUAAACCGCUUUCGCCUGUGACGAAGCGUGAGUGACGGUAAUGGGUAAAGAAGCACCGGCUAACUACGUG
rnacentral:rRNA from 1 species